UGCACCACCACAAUUACCAUCACCAUCGUCGAUCGCCACCACCACCAUCAACACCUCCACCUGCACCACCAACCAAAAUCGCCACCAUAUCUACCAUCGUCGCCAAUCUUCUACCUACACAACCAGCAAAAACUACCUAAAACUCCCAUCAACACUAAAACCACCCCAAACCACUCCAUUGUCGCCAUCACUGAAUCGUGGUACAGAUCGACGAAUUAGAGAAAAUUUCAG
rnacentral:lncRNA from 1 species